ACCAACAUCUGGUUUAAGUUCAACUGCUUGCCUUAUCCCGCGCCCUCUAACAAAAAAACAAAUCCUGCUAGUCCAAAUGUUCUGACAACUUAACCAGGACAUACUGCAAGGACAUACAUUCUGGAGAGGGAGUUUCUGGAUUUGAAGAAUUCUAAAACCAAGAAAAGCCUCACUGACUACGUUCAACAUGUCCUCUGUCAAGAUACAGUGAUCUGAUUGCCAGAAGAGGAAACUGGUAUAGAUCCUGAGGGCAAGCAAUGUUUUUAUUAUUAACCGCUUUGGGAUUUAUCUUGGUUAUCUCAUGAGCUGAAAAAAAAGAAGUCCCUAUUCUUACAACAAGAAAAGCCUUGUUCAGGCUGUAAAGUAAUGGCUUUUCUAACCCAGAUGAAAACAGGUCAAAGGAUAAACGACCAUCCAAAAUUCUGAGGAGACAUAGGCACAUCCAGGGAGACAGAGGAGUCAAACAGUUGCUAACCUUGGACAGAGGCUGCUAGAUACCAAGAAAGCCCGCCAGAAUAUCGAAGAAACACUGAUAAUUCCUUGGAAGUUGAACAUUAGUAUGGGGCUACGGUAAUGGGCUUUCCACCCAUUUGAAUGCUUUUUUCUCUAGAAACACCAUGAGGCUUUUACAGGGGGGAUCUGAGAGAAUCCAGAGAAUGUUUCCCUUGUCUUACUAGUUGGGGAGGGAAAGACCAGACACCGUAAAGUCCAUCCAGAUCCCACUGCCAUGUGAAACAAAGGCUUAAUCAGCAGUGGGAAGGGCCAGAAGAAUGCAGACUAACAGUACUAGAGGAUAUUUUUUGCAGCUAGUAAAAGGAAGAUGGAGCAGGAGACACUGUGACAGGUAGCUUAAUGUUACUCCAUACAUUUCAUAUAAACUCACUUUCACUUAUUUAUGUCACGAGUGCAUUUACGUAUUUAUGUAUAAACAAAUGUACAUUGAAUAAAAUUUUGGCUAUAUACAAAUACGUGUGUGUGUAUGUAUGUGUGCAUUGUAACUAAUUUAUUUUUAUUUUCAUUUAACUUAAUGCUUUGUGAACACUCUUCCAUAACACUAAAAAUUAAAAUACUUGGACUUUAGUGGAUGCAUGAAUGUUGCUAUAGCUUGUAGAAUAUUUAAG
rnacentral:lncRNA from 1 species